UCGGACAUGGUGUAUGGUACACACCCUCUCUUGGAGCUGGCUGUGAAUAUACAGGAGGGAGUAUGGGGUUCGAUUCCCCGUGUAUGAA